UCCUCGGGGGGCUGCAGUGGGGAAUAUUGCGCAAUGGGCGAAAGCCUGACGCAGCAACGCCGCGUGCGGGAUGAAGGCCUUCGGGUUGUAAACCGCUUUCAGCAGGGAAGAAGCGAAAGUGACGGUACCUGCAGAAGAAGCACCGGCUAACUACGUGCCAGCAGCCGCGGUAAUACGUAGGGUGCAAGCGUUGUCCGGAUUUAUUGGGCGUAAAGAGCUCGUAGGCGGUUAGUCACGUCGGAUGUGAAAACCCGGAGCUUAACUCCGGGCCUGCAUUCGAUACGGGCUGACUCGAGUGUUGUAGGGGAGACUGGAACUCCUGGUGUAGCGGUGAAAUGCGCAGAUAUCAGGAAGAACACCAAUGGCGAAGGCAGGUCUCUGGGCCAUAACUGACACUGAGGAGCGAAAGUGCGGGGAGCGAACAGGAUUAGAUACCCUGGUAGUCCGCACCGUAAACGGUGGGCACUAGUUGUGGGAACCUUCCACGGUUUCCGCGACGCAGCAAACGCAUUAAGUGCCCCGCCUGGGGAGUACGAUCGCAAGAUUAAAACUCAAAGGAAUUGACGG
rnacentral:rRNA from 1 species